UACGUAGGUCCCGAGCGUUGUCCGGAUUUAUUGGGCGUAAAGCGAGCGCAGGUGGUUUAUUAAGUCUGGUGUAAAAGGCAGUGGCUCAACCAUUGUAUGCAUUGGAAACUGGUAGACUUGAGUGCAGGAGAGGAGUGUGGAAUUCCAUGUGUAGCGGUGAAAUGCGUAGAUAUAUGGAGGAACACCGGUGGCGAAAGCGGCUCUCUGGCCUGUAACUGACACUGAGGCUCGAAAGCGUGGGGAGCAAACAGG
rnacentral:rRNA from 1 species